rnacentral:lncRNA from 1 species
AUUUGAGUAAAAUGCCUGAUUCUCCUGUGUGGCCAGUCUCGUGUCAAUUAAACUCUCUACUACAAUGCCAUGGUGUCAAUGCAUCUUGUCUGUGCAGUGCGCAGAAAGAACCCACUGGCAAUUACAUUACCAGUAGCUAUCGCUCUUCUGUCCUUCAAACAGGAAAUACUUCAACCCUGGAACCACGGCACCAGCACCUGCUUCUGAUGAGGGUCUCCGACUGCUUCUGUUCAUGGCACAAGGUGAAGGACAGCCAGUGUGUAAAGAGCACAUGGCAAGAGAGAGGAAAAGUGGGGAUCCACCCCCACGACCCAAACACCUUUCACCAGGACCCAUCUCCAACUUUGGGGAACAAAUUUUAAUGUGAGAUUUGGUGGAGACAAAUGUUCAAACCAUACCAGAUAACUCACAACAUCUGCCACUAUGCUUCUGUUAAGGAAAAAGGAUCCGUUGGUACUCACGGCUUGGGACAGGAAUUUAAGUUCCUAAGAGAAAAAGGAAAUGAUCCAAGAAGCUUUGAAAUUUUAUCAAUGACAUUUUCUGCAUUUGAAAGUUCAAACUCAGCUUUAUUAAUGGAAAGUUGUCUCAUGUUAAUUUCUAUUAAUGUAUUUGCAUUUCUGAUUUUUCUAAUGGCCUCUGAUGCUUAUCUGCAUUGUAUCAUGAAAAAUGUGGAACUCAUUCUUCUAAUGUAUAAGUUGAUAAGGUUUGUCACUGACAAUCUAAUUACUAGAAAAUUAAGGAUUUUAUAUAAAAGCAAAAAAUCAUAAAAUAACCUGGAUAGUCUAUCAACAGUUUUCCAAAUUUAUUGAGGGACAAUUUACAUAAAAUCAAACCUUUCUAUUUUAAGUAUACAGUUGAUGAGUUGUGACAAUUUUAUAAGGUUGUAUAGGCACUACCAUAAUUGAUAUAUAGAACAUUUAUCUCAUUAUAAAAAUGUCUCUCCUUUCCAUUUGCCAUCACUUCACUAAACUCUUGGCAUUAGGCAAACACUGAUUUGCAUUUUGUUAUAAUAGUUUGACUUUUCCAGAUUUUUAUACAUACAGUAUGCAGUAUUUUGUAUUUGUCUUCUCAAACUUAUUAUAUGUUCAAGAUUUAUCUUCAUUAUGGUUGUAUUAUCUAUUGCUGCAUAGUAUUACAUAUUAUGGAUAUACUAUAAUUUGUUUAUUCAUUCACUAGUUGAUUGAUAUUUAGAUUUUUUUAAAUAAUUGGACUAUUAUGAAUAGUGUUGCUAUGGUUUAACAGAGGAUGAGACUGUGAAAACAAGGGGUUGGAGUGAUGUCGGAGAGAGUCUGUGAGCCACAAAAUGCGGGUAGCUUUUAAAAGCUGAAAAAGACAAGGAAAUGAAUUUUACCCUGAAGCCUCUGGAUGGAAUGUAGCCCAGCAAACACUGACCUGCACAGUGAGAGACGAUAAAUUUGUGUUAACUUAAACCACUAGGUUGUGGUAAUUUGUUACAAUGGAGAUAGAAGCCAAUACAGAUUUUGAUUUGUUCACAUAUGGUAUAGAAAGGUGUUUUCAUUUUUCUUGGAUAAAUAUGUAAGAGUGGGAUGGCUGAGUCCUAUGGUAAGUACAAAGGUAUCCUUUUGAAUAACCAGAUCACCUUAAAACCUACCUUGUGCCAAGGAAAGGAACAUUUUAUGUUCAGCCUCCAAGAUUGUUGUCAUAUGUGACUUGCCACUGCAAUGUAUUAGUACUGGAUGAAUUCAUUAAUUUUUGUUGCUAAAACUAUAAUCACGGGAGUCAAACACAAGUAAGUUUUAACACUUAUGUAACCUCAGAAAGUUACAUACCUUCUUUGUUAUUCAGUUUCCAUGUAUGUAUGAUGGGAG